rnacentral:rRNA from 1 species
UGGCGGGGGAUGUGAAGAAAAGAGUGGGGACCCGAAAGGGCCUGUCGUCGAAGGAUGAGCUCGCGGCCUAUCAGCUAGUUGGCGGGGUAAUCGGCCCACCAAGGCUAAGGACGGGUAGCUGGUCUGAGAGGAUGAUCAGCCACACUGGAACUGAGACACGGUCCAGACUCCUACGGGAGGCAGCAGUGGGGAAUUUUUGCGCAAUGGGCGAAAGCCUGACGCAGCGACGCCGCGUGUGCGAUGAAGGCCUUUGGGUCGUAAAGCACUGUCGACAGGGACGAAAGCUCGCUGGCUAAUAUCCGGCGAGGUUGACGGUACCUGUAAAGGAAGCACCGGCUAACUCUGUG